rnacentral:ncRNA from 1 species
AACGAAAGUAGAGGCGCGAUAGCUAAGAGUCAUUAUAUGGAUGCAUUCAGGUGCAAAUGAUGUAUAAUUAAAGGAGAUGUCGCCGAAGGUUUGGGUUACCUGUAAGCCCCUUCCUGGGCAACUGGUUAACAGCCAUUUGACUGUCGUAUACCUUGCGUAUAUGAAGUGCUACUUGUGUC